CGGGGCGUAGCUCAGUUGGCUAGAGCGCACGGUUCGGGACCGUGAGGCCGCUGGUUCAAGUCCAGUCGCCCCGA
rnacentral:tRNA from 1 species